AGACAGACGGAUACCAUAUGAUGUCACUUAUAUGUGGGACCUACAACACAAGCAACAACAAGAAGAAAAACCAAGGUCAUAGAUACAGAGAACAGAACAGAUUGGUGGUUGCAGUGUGUGUGUGUGUGUGUGUGUGUGUGUGUGUGUGUGUGGAUGGGCCAAGGGGUCAAAAUGUACAGUCUUCCAGCCAGCUAUUAAAAAAGUAAAUCAUGGGAAUAUUGUGUACAGUAUUGUGACUAUAGUUAAUUAUAGUAUAUUGCAUAUUUGAAAGUUUCUAGGAGGGUAGAUCUUAAAAGUCCUCAUCACAAGAAAAAAAAAAAAAAACAUGUCCGUGACUGUGUAUAUGGUGAAGGACAUUAACUAGACUUAUUGUGGUGACCAUGUCGCAGUGAAUACAAAUAUAGAAUUGUUAUGUUGUGCACCUGAAACUAUUACUGUAUGUCAAUUAUACCUCAGUUUUAAAAAACCUCAAUAGACUGCUCUAACCAUAAAAUAAAGAAUUUAAAUCAAAGCAAUUUAUAAUAAACUAUGUAUUUCAGUAUGUAAAUGUUUGGGAGUGACUUCACAAGAAGACAGGUAGAUGCAUAAAAUAAGUUCAGGUCUAAGAAACGUAAGACAUAUUCAGUGAGUUAACAUAUUUCCUUUACAUUUGAGACUUUAAAAUGGGAGAUAAAUGUGUUUAUAUGGGAGCAUGGAACCACAGUGAGGCAACAGCUGCAUUUGCAUUGGAGACUCAGACACUAUAAAUGGCGUUGCUGUUGGCCAUGUGAUUUCCUGAAAUGGCGCACAAUGCUCGUUAAAGUUUCAAGCUAAGGACAGUGUUUAAAAUCGUGCAAAAAGUAUUCGGAAUACUCAUUGUGCAUAUGUUAAAACAGUUAGGUUCUAAGCUUAGAACUUAUAAACAGGAUUUUUUUUUUUAAUCUACAUGAAUGUCCAGGCGGACAUGUGCACAUCGUGAGAGAUGCAGGACGAUGCUAUGUUGUGCGGGACUGUCACACAUUGCAGGAUGUCUGUCAUCCCUGGUUCCUGCCCAGGAAAUGCCAGUCAUCCCUCUGGACCGCCCCCCCCCCUCCCCACUCUGGUCAUUGUGACAACUAAUAAUGACUCCAUACCCUCUGAGGGCAGAGUACAGCCAACACUGAGAAAUACCACGCUAGGGCCUCGGUCACCGCCCCUGUGAAGUCAGGGCGGGAGUCUGGGUGUGAGGUCAGGCCCCAAGGGAUGGAGUCUGUGUUCUUCUUUGGGGUUAGGAUGGAAUGGCAGGCUUGAGAUCACAGAUAAACUUCCUUCUCUAUGUUUCUCCACUCUAACUUUUAAAUUUUAAUUUACUUUAUUGUUUUUAAUCAAAUGUUUUAAAAGUCAAACAGUCGCUUUUUUUAAAAUAAUAGAUUUUUUUAUUGAAGUAUAAUUUACAAUGUGUUAGUUUCAGGUGUACAGCGGAGUGAUUCAGCUCUACAUAUAUAUGUAUAUAUUUUUAUAUAUAUAUAUAUAAAAACAUAUACAUAUUCUUUUUCAGAUUCUUUUCCGUUAUAAGUUAUUACAAGAUAGUGAGUAGAGUUCCCUGUGCUCUACAGCAGGUCCUUGUUGUUUAUCUAUUUUAUAUACAGUAGUGUGUAUGUUAAGUCCAGACUCCUAAUUUAUCCCUCCCCAUCCCCCCAACCCCCUAACACCGAUGUCCCCUUUGGUAAACACAAGUUUGUUUUCUACAUCUAUGAGUCUAUUUCUGUUUUGUAAAUAAGUCCAUUUGUAUCAUUUUUUUAGAUUCCAUAUAAAAGUGAUAUCAUAUAUUUGUCUUUCUCUGUCUGAAAAGACGAGUAGUCUUAACAGUUCCCUGCUACACAUUACCCAAAGCCCUCUCCCCAAAGGCAUAUAGUCUCAGGUAUUUCCUCUCAUAUUUGCUUCCAUAAUUCUAAAUAAUGUGCUUUUCUCCCCCUGCAGUUUGAUUUUUUAAAUCAUGAUCAUCUUAAUUACAUACGGUAUAUAAUAAUAUACAUUGUAAAUUAUUAAAAUCAUUUGUAACCAUAACUAUUAUCUGUUGGCUUUCAAACAGGGAAAAGAAGCUUUCACACCAUAUGUACAGCAGGGGAAUUCCCUAGUGGUCCAGUGGUUAAGACGCUGUGCUUCAAACGCAGGGGGUCUGGGUUCAAUCCCUGGUCGGGGAACUAGGGUCCCAUAUGUGAUUUUUGGGGCAGCCAAAAAUCACACUUAAGCAAUUUCCAUAUAGUGUUUUAGAAUUUACAAGUGAGUUUGCACAGGCAUGGGUUCAUAUGAUCCUUGCAGAAGUUUUGAGAGGGAUGUCAUUAGGGUCAUUCUCAUUUAAAAGAUAGGAAAUUGGAACACAGGUAAGUGACAUGCCCAAGAUCACGUGACUGUAAAAUACCAGAGACAGGCCUAGACCCCAGAAUGUUCGCUCUUAUUAGGCUGCUGUUUUUAAAUUUGCUUCGAGAGCUGAGGGGACUAUUCUGCUUAGAUCCCCUUCUGGCAAAAACUCCUUUAAGGCCCCAUUCCCGCGCGCGUUCUUCCUGAAACCUUUGCUAACCCUCCCAGGCAGGUCUUUUCUCUGAGCUUCCCCGGGAGUUUGUUGGUGCUUCCAUCUUGGCACUCAACACAGUGACCCAUUAGUUGUCCUUUUCACACUGCCCUAGGCAGCUUCUCCCUCCUCUUUCUGUCCCCAGACCCCAGCAGGUCAUCAGGUGGAAGGUGUGGCAUCUCUGUACCGGCACCUGUGCUAAGCGCCCGGGUACACAGACGACCAGGACAGAACACAUCCCCUGGCUUCCAAGCCUCGGGUUUGGUAAAUUCGUGAAUGUGUGAUGCUACUCUCUGAAAUGGACAGAGGAGCAACGAUUUCAGGAGGAUAGCUACACAGAGAGCAACGUCCUCUCAGAUUUGGCUCCUUUGCACCUGAAAACUUAAAACAUUAGCCAAGUCAGAUUGCAAGAGACACACGUGCCAGACAAACUAGAUUCACAAGAUAAUGAAGAUCAUGGGAGUGGAAUUAACAAAAGAGGGGGCCAGUAAAGGUCUGUUCUUAUAAGAACAAAGACGGAAAAUAAUUUUUGGUGAAUGGGAGUGAUUUAUAAGUAAGGCCACCUGGAGAAGUUUACAUUAAUCGAGGUGGGAAAUGUUAAAUGUAUGGAUGGUUAUUUUAUCUGGAAGAAUAUUGAGUAGCUUUAAUAAUGGAGAAAAUAUCGUUGGCUUUCUAGGUGGUCAAGGAGAAAGUCGGAGAGGAACAAUUGAACGUGAUAAGCUUAGUGGCAAUAUGAUAAAGAAAAAGGAAUUUAGGAAUAAUUCUUGCCCAAAGUUGUUCAUAAAAUUGGUGGAAAGAAUCUCAUCAGAGUCUACCUGGUUCUAAAAUAUAUCCUUCCUCUCUUCUAUGUGGCAUCCUGCAAUUCUUCUUUGAUGAGAAAGGAUGCAAGGUUGUCAACAUGUCAAAUUCAGCAAGGUUGUCAAUGUGAAAAUGAAUGAUGAUAAUGUCCAGAACAAGCUAGCUGAACACACUCUAUGAGAAAAGCAUCAUCCUCGUUAUUAUCAUCAUUGAUAACAAACAUUAGCCAUUCCCCCAAAAAGCCACCCAACUUUUAUUAAUGACAUUGAGUUGUGAAAAUUCCUCAAACAUGGCAAGUCAAUGACCACUUUGGAUUCAAAAUAUGGGCUUAAUAAGAAGAACAGCAAAAGGAAACAACUCUUGUAGCUUUGAUGCAAAGCAUACAUUAAAAAGUAAUUUAUUUAAAAAAAGAGGGGCUACUGAAUGAACUUCAGGAUGAAAUAAUGUUAAAUUAGGCUUUUUAAAUCUCAGAGGAAGUCGCAGAGUAAUAAAACAACAUACCAUA